CCCAGACUGGGCAUUUUUCGCCUUCGGGGACCGGUCUCCCCGACCAGGGACCGGUUCCCAAACGGGGGUUUUUCAGGACUUAGCCAAAUUUUCGAGUUUUUCAGCUGCUGCGCAGCGAGGGACCGGUCUGCCCUUCAGGGACCGGUCUCCCGAGGACCGGUCUCACCACCAGGGACCGGAUGCCUCAGGAUUCCUGGCAGGCUACGCGUACGGGGACCGGUCUCUCCUUCAGGGACCGGUCCCCGAGAGUACAAAAUCUGG
rnacentral:lncRNA from 1 species